GGGGUUGCACAACGCUUGUGCUGGGAGAGCGCUUGAAUGGCAUUCAAGAGGUCAGCGGUUCGAUCCCGCUUAUCUCCACCA
rnacentral:tRNA from 1 species